rnacentral:rRNA from 1 species
AACGUAGGAGGCGAGCGUUAUCCGGAGUUACUGGGCGUAAAGAGCGUGUAGGCGGGUAUGCGAGGUUGGCGUGAAAGCUCCCGGCUAAACUGGGAGACUGCGUUGAAGACUGCGUAUCUAGAGGCAAGUAGAGGGACGUGGAAUUCCGGGUGUAGUGGUGAAAUGCGUAGAGAUCCGGAGGAACACCAGUGGCGAAGGCGGAUCUCUGGGCCUUACCUGACGCUCAGGUGCGAAAGCUAGGGGAGCGAACAGG